ACUCCUACGGGAGGCAGCAGUAGGGAAUCUUCCACAAUGGGCGCAAGCCUGAUGGAGCAACACCGCGUGAGUGAAGAAGGGUUUCGGCUCGUAAAGCUCUGUUGUUAAAGAAGAACACGUAUGAGAGUAACUGUUCAUACGUUGACGGUAUUUAACCAGAAAGUCACGGCUAACUACGUGCCAGCAGCCGCGGUAAUACGUAGGUGGCAGGCGUUAUCCGGAUUUAUUGGGCGUAAAGAGAGUGCAGGCGGUUUUCUAAGUCUGAUGUGAAAGCCUUCGGCUUAACCGGAGAAGUGCAUCGGAAACUGGAUAACUUGAGUGCAGAAGAGGGUAGUGGAACUCCAUGUGUAGCGGUGGAAUGCGUAGAUAUAUGGAAGAACACCAGUGGCGAAGGCGGCUACCUGGUCUGCAACUGACGCUGAGACUCGAAAGCAUGGGUAGCGAACAGGAUUAGAUACCCUGGUAGGAUAGCG
rnacentral:rRNA from 1 species